rnacentral:rRNA from 1 species
UGGGGGAUAUUGCGCAAUGGGGGCAACCCUGACGCAGCAACGCCGCGUGAAGGAUGAAGGUUUUCGGAUUGUAAACUUCUUUUAUUAAGGACGAAACUUGACGGUACUUAAUGAAUAAGCUCCGGCUAACUACGUGCCAGCAGCCGCGGUAAAACGUAGGGUGCAAGCGUUGUCCGGAAUUACUGGGUGUAAAGGGAGCGCAGGCGGACCGGCAAGUUGGAAGUGAAAUCCAUGGGCUCAACCCGUGAAUUGCUUUCAAAACUGCUGGCCUUGAGUAGUGCAGAGGUAGGUGGAAUUCCCGGUGUAGCGGUGGAAUGCGUAGAUAUCGGGAGGAACACCAGUGGCGAAGGCGACCUACUGGGCACCAACUGACGCUGAGGCUCGAAAGCAUGGGUAGCAAACAGGAUUAGAUACCCUGGUAGUCCAUGCCGUAAACGAUGAUUACUAGGUGUUGGAGGAUUGACCCCUUCAGUGCCGCAGUUAACACAAUAAGUAAUCCACCUGGGGAGUACGACCGCAAGGUUGAAACUCAAAGGAAUUGACGGGGGCCCGCACAAGCAGUGGAGUAUGUGGUUUAAUUCGAAGCAACGCGAAGAACCUUACCAGGUCUUGACAUCCGAUGCAUAGUGCAGAGAUGCAUGAAGUCCUUCGGGACAUCGAGACAGGUGGUGCAUGGUUGUCGUCAGCUCGUGUCGUGAGAUGUUGGGUUAAGUCCCGCAACGAGCGCAACCCUUAUUGCCAGUUACUACGCAAGAGGACUCUGGCGAGACUGCCGUUGACAAAACGGAGGAAGGUGGGGAUGACGUCAAAUCAUCAUGCCCUUUAUGACCUGGGCUACACACGUACUACAAUGGCGUUUAACAAAGAGAAGCAAGACCGCGAGGUGGAGCAAAACUCAGAAACAACGUCUCAGUUCAGAUUGCAGGCUGCAACUCGCCUGCAUGAAGUCGGAAUUGCUAGUAAUCGCGGAUCAGCAUGCCGCGGUGAAUACGUUCCC